GACGAACGCUGGCGGCGUGCUUAACACAUGCAAGUCGAACGGAAAGGCCUCUUUCGGGGGGUACUCGAGUGGCGAACGGGUGAGUAACACGUGAGUAACCUGCCCUUGACUUUGGGAUAACUUCAGGAAACUGGGGCUAAUACCGGAUAGGAGCUCCUGCUGCAUGGUGGGGGCUGGAAAGUUUCGGCGGUUGGGGCUGGACUCGCGGCUUAUCAGCUUGUUGGUGGGGUAGUGGCUUACCAAGGCUUUGACGGGUAGCCGGCCUGAGAGGGUGACCGGCCACAUUGGGACUGAGAUACGGCCCAGACUCCUACGGGAGGCAGCAGUGGGGAAUAUUGCACAAUGGGUGGAAGCCUGAUGCAGCAACGCCGUGUGCGGGAUGACGGCCUUCGGGUUGUAAACCGCUUUCGCUCAUGACGAAGCUUUGUGUGACGGUAGUGGGUAAAGAAGCACCGGCUAACUACGUG
rnacentral:rRNA from 1 species